rnacentral:rRNA from 1 species
CUUGCUAGGUGGAUUAGUGGCGCACGGGUGAGGAAUAUAUAGCUAACCUGCCCUUUAGAUGGGAACAACAGUUGGAAACGACUGCUAAUACCCAAUACUCCUUUUGAACAAAAGUUCAAUCGGGAAAUGUUUUUUCGCUAAAGGAUGGGGCUAUACGGUAUCAGCUUGUUGGUGAGGUAAGAGCUCACCAAGGCAAUGACGCCUAGCUGGUCUGAGAGGAUGAUCAGCCACACUGGAACUGAGACACGGUCCAGACUCCUACGGGAGGCAGCAGUGAGGAAUAUUGCACAAUGGGGGAAACCCUGAUGCAGCAACGCCGCGUGGAGGAUGACGCAUUUCGGUGUGUAAACUCCUUUUAUCAAGGAAGAAAUUUGACGGUACUUGAUGAAUAAGCACCGGCUAACUCCGUGCCAGCAGCCGC